UAGCUCAUGUUAAAUACGUUCACUUUUCAGUUUUCCUUUCUUCUAAAAUGGAGUUUGACAGAUUGGGCAUUUCAGCUCCCCCUUUUUUUCACCACCUCUACUUUCUACCUCAGAAAUACUCUUCAGGAAGCAGGAGUUAAUCUUGGUGAGGAAACGAUAAGGCUCAACUCUGCCUCCUGUACCUGUGUGUAGCAGUGCCUUUCUCUUUGAAUAGCCCAAUUAAUUUCAAUGGGGCUACUCACAGAGGAGAGCACUGCUCAGUAUGAGUAAGGGUGGAAGAAUUGGGCCCUGACUCUGCAGAUUUUUCCAUGCAGGUGGAUUCCUCACCCAUGUUUAGUGCUCUGGUGACUUCAUUGGGUCGCUGUGCUGAACAGCUUGCAGGAUAAGGCCUAAUACUGUCUUUAAAGAAGGACAAUAGAAGGAGAAAUAUCCUUCAAAUGAUGGAGAGGAUAUGGGUUCAUCAAGAGUGUCAGGCACUUGGUGGGCAGUUCAUACUCCUCUGACAAACUACAAUUUGGUGGGAAACUUCACAAGACUCCACGGUAUCAGUAAGCCCUCAUCUGUAAAUUCAUGGAGUGCCCUGCAUUUGAUUAACUUCUGCUGUCCUUCACAUCUUCUACACAAAAGAUUCUCAUUUAAUGAAAACCAUGUCGCUAGUUCCUUUAGUGCGAUCCAGAGUUGCUCCUGGGUCACCUAGAACUGUAGCUUCUGCUGAUGUGAAGACUUUCUGCUCACAGAUAACACGACAUGAGGCCCCUACUUACUCCAGAGCCUGAUUGGCAUGGAUCUCCCAGCACACAGAAAGGCAAAGCUGUCCGAAAAUAGAAAAAGAGGAAGAUACUGCAAAAUCUACCAAACAAAUAUGAAGAAACUGUUUUUGAAAGUAAUUUAGGGAGAUGAAGAGCACACUUAGAAAACAUGGGCAGGACACACAUACAGCAGUAAAUUCAGAUCCACCUGAAUGGGCUUUGAGCAGGAGUUUGGCAUUCUCAACCUGGGAUUCAGGUGUUGGCCUGAGAUUGGUGGCAUGUUACUGUACACCUCUGACAAGGUUAGCAGGAUGUUCCAGGUAUGUUUAUGCUACACAGCAUUGCUAUUGCCUCAGGGGAAGACAUACAUGAAAUAAGGAGCCCUGAAAAGAAGAGGACAUAGGAGCUGUGAGGCUCAGGAGGACAUAAGCAUGCUGGACCAGGAAGAUGAUGAGGGAGCAAGGACAUCAGCUAGUGUUCCCUGAGCCCCCUGAUUCUCAGAGACAGUUUGAUAGUCAAGAUUUUCCUUAGUUUGACAACAAAAUUUUUAUGCUUACAGGAGAAGUGAGAUUUUAAAAGGGCCUUCUUCUGACACCCAACACUAUGAAGGACACAGGCCUGCAGGUCAACAUCCCAAGAAGAUGUCGGUGCAACUAAGAAGGAAGAUCAAGAACCUGGAAGAUAGAGAGAGAAAGGUUCUCUGGAAGGGAAAACUGGAAAUGAAGCAGAUUAAGAGCUUCACCUGUCACAGAAGAAUUACACUUGCAAUAAGGCAGAUGUCAAAAAGACAUUAUUAGCUUGGAAGACUUCAAAACAGGUGUUGGGAAGAAGGAGAGAAUCUUGUUCAUAACCUAAACUGAAAAUAUUCAACAUAAACAGCAACUUACUUGCAUCAAGACUAUAUCAAGGCUUGACAAAUUCACCUGUCUGGUGCCUCAUGCAACUGAUUUAUCUGCCUGGACAGGUGGAAAACUGCCUAGACUUAUCCGUGAGUAAAGUGGAGUUGUUAGUGCAGUACCGUUGAGGUACUGCUUUCUCUCACUACAACAGUUGGAGUAAGCAUGUUACAGUGCUACAAAUUAGCAGACAGUUUAAAACAGUUCCCAAGCAUUGAAAUUAGAAGUGCUUAAUGCAGAAUUCAUAUUUUCUAGCUCAGUCACAAUGGGACUCUGGUGAAUUUAAUUUUUAUUGCUUUCAUGUUGUAACAGUCAUUUGUCUUUUGGAGGCAAUCAUGGGAGCAGCAUUACAGCAGGACAUAUGAAGAUUCUUGUUUGCUUCUUGUAAUCCUGACGAUAUUAAUUCUUUACUACAAGCAAAUGCCACCUGGAAAAUAAAAUUCUGUUCUUCCACUUGUACUCAUGGUGCACAACACUCCCACUGAAAUAAAUGGAUCUCUCGAUAGAGUAACGUUCUAGUCAAUGUGAUAAGGGUAGCAGAAUCCGCUCCACAGCCAUUUGGAUUCUAGAGAAAAAAAAAUUCUAU